rnacentral:lncRNA from 1 species
CACGACAGCAGUGUGAAGGAGAGCCCAUCCUGGGUGACCCAGCGGGCGGGAGGAGAUGUUCCAGAAGACUGGCACUUGGAGCCCAGAGCGUGGACCCCUCCGCACCUGCCCAACAGCCAGCCCAACCCGCAGGCGGUGGAGAUGCGAGAGAUGAGCACUGAGGGCUACUCGGACAGUGAACACUACCUCCCCAUGGAGGGCCAGGCCCGGGCCGCCUCCAUGCCUCGGCUCCCGGCCGAGAACCAGGUGAGGGCUUGCACGCCCCAAACCCCGCUGCGCCCCUUCAUGGGGGCACCGCCUUGCUUCUCUUCCCUCCCGCACCCAUUCUCCUCGCAGGGGAAGGGCACCCCUGUGGGCUGAGCGUGGUAGUCGCCUCCAAGCAGUUUCCCCUAUGUCUUAUUUGGGGGUGCUGAGGGAGAAAUUUGGGGUGAGGCAAGAAGAGGACCUGUCAGUCUGAGAGCUGCAAUGGAGAAUCCCAACUGCCAACAGAGUGUGGUGGGCACGCCUAGGAUCCCCAGCACUCUGGGAAGCUGAGGCAGGAGGAUCCCAAGUUCAAGCUCAACUUGGGCAAUUUAGUCCCAAAAUCCUAUCUCAAAAUAAGAAAUACAAAUGGGCUGGGGAUGGAGUUCAGUGCGAGGCCCUGGAUUCAAUCCCUGGUGCUGGGGGGGGAAAGCCACUACACACACAUGAAUCCCCAAACAUACAACAUACAUGCACACCUGUGCACACAGACGUGGGUUAUGCCCUACGUGUCCAUGCGUGCGCACACACUUGCACCCAUGAGUCCUGGGGCCUGCAGCUGUGCCUGGGGCGGGUUGUGGGUCUGGGUUUUACUAGUCCCUGUCUGGUCUCUGUGGGCUGCAGGGUGGGCAGAGUGUGUGCCUGGUGUGUGUGUCUGUGUGUGCCGGCUUCUGUCAGCUGUGGGGGCCACCUGUCCGGGGACACAGGGAGGGCACGGCCAGCCGCCUGUGUGGAGCUGAGAACAGCGCCACAUGAGCUUCCCAGCCUGUGUGUGCGGGACGGCUGCACUGUGCCUGGCUGGGCCCGGACCAUGGGAGCCUGGCCUCUGGCUGCUCUGACUUGGCGGGGGAACACCCUGGUGCAUGUGGCUGCCCAGUCCCUGCAUCAGACUCUGCUGCUGGGUGCCAAGAGAGGGAGGGAAC